UUNCAUGUUAAUAUUUUCAUUUAGAAAAACGAAGGCCACUUUAGAGCACAGAAAACGUUGAAAAGUCCUGUUGCUUUAGGUGAAAGGCAAGCAAUAUGAAGUGUUUAAUCAAUAUAGCCCUGCUGUUAUGCAUUCUCGUCAACGUUGAUUGCCUGAUUUGCCCAUCCUGUUUUAGCAAAGANUCUGUUGAGACAUGCAACGUCAAAGCAGAAGUAUGCGAGGAAGAAAAUGACAUAUGUACAUUCUAUUACAUAGAAAGAAAGACUGANGUUCAGGGGAGCUUGGUUAAACAAAAGCGUUAUAUUCAGGGCUGUAUGUCAAAGAAAUUGUAUGAUCUCCACAAGNUGAUGUGCUCACUUCCACGGUUCAAGUGCGAUAUUAUUCAAGUNGAAGGCUGUAAAAACGAUGGCAAUGGCAAAUGCGCUUAAUUUUGAAACCGUAGUUCUAUCAUAUUAAAUGAUUGAGAUUAAAAAAAUACAUACAUAAGGUAGUUUGUUGGAUUAUUUAGCAAAAUAUUUGAAAAUAUUAGUAUUAAAAUAAAAAAAUAAAUAUAU
rnacentral:lncRNA from 1 species